CCAAAAAAGCGAGAGAUCGCUUUUCCAACCCGUUAGGCGGCCCGCACUCCGGGUCGCCGACCGGUCAACCCUUUGUGAACCAAAACAAACCUUUCGCUUCGGCAGCUGGGUCCUAAACCCACCCGUCAGCCUGCCGCUAGCACCUUCAAAACCUGCUCGUCAAAAACAUUGUCUGAUAAACCAAAAUUUUCGAAUGAAAAUCA
rnacentral:misc_RNA from 1 species